rnacentral:rRNA from 1 species
UUUGAAGUGCUUGCACGGAAGAGGAAUUGGAUUCUAGAUUGAGUGGCGAACGGGUGAGUAACACGUUGGCAUCUGCCCCCAAGUCAGGGAUAGCCAUCCGAAAGGAUGAUUAAUACCGGAUAGUCUCUUCGGGGUAAAGAUUUAUUGCUUGGGGAGGAGCCUGCGGUCUAUCAGCUUGUUGGUGAGGUAAUAGCUCACCAAGGCUAUGACGGAUAACUGGUCUGAGAGGAUGACCAGUCACAAUGGGACUGAGACACGGCCCAUACUCCUACGGGAGGCAGCAGUGAGGAAUCUUCCACAAUGGACGAAAGUCUGAUGGAGCGACACCGCGUGAAGGAUGACGGUCUAACGAUUGUAAACUUCUUUUCUGAAGGAGCAUAAUGAGAGUACUUCAGGAAUAAGGGACGGCUAAUUACGUGCCAGCAGCCGCGGUAAUACGUAAGUCCCAAGCGUUACUCGAAAUUACUGGGUGUAAAGCGUUUGUAGGCGGAUUGAAAAGUUGGACAUGAAAGACCGAGGCUCAACCUCGUGUUUGUAUUCAAAACUCUCAAUCUAGAAUCAGGGAGAGGUAAGCGGAAUUCUAAGUGUAGGGGUGCAAUCCGUAGAUACUUAGAAGAACACCAAAAGCGAAGGCAGCUUACUGGAACUCG